rnacentral:rRNA from 1 species
UACGAAGGGGGCUAGCGUUGUUCGGAAUUACUGGGCGUAAAGCGUGCGCAGGCGGCUUCUCAAGUCAGGGGUGAAAGCCCAGAGCUCAACUCUGGAAUUGCCUUUGAGACUGAGUGGCUUGAGUACGAGAGAGGUGAGUGGAAUUCCGAGUGUAGAGGUGAAAUUCGUAGAUAUUCGGAAGGACACCAGUGGCGAAGGCGACUUACUGGACACAUAUUGACGCUGAGGUGCGAAAGCGUGGGGAGCAAACAGG